rnacentral:rRNA from 1 species
UACGUAGGUGGCGAGCGUUGUCCGGAAUUACUGGGCGUAAAGGGCGCGUAGGCGGCCUGUUAAGUCAGAUGUGAAAACCCCAGGCUCAACCUGGGGACUGCAUAUGAAACUGAUGGGCUAGAGUGUCGGAGAGGGAAGCGGAAUUCCUAGUGUAGCGGUGAAAUGCGUAGAUAUUAGGAGGAACACCAGUGGCGAAGGCGGCUUUCUGGACGAUAACUGACGCUGAGGCGCGAAAGCGUGGGGAGCAAACAGGAUUAGAUACCCUGGUAGUCCACGCUGUAAACGAUGGAUACUAGGUGUGGGAGGUAUCGACCCCUUCCGUGCCGCAGUAAACGCAAUAAGUAUCCCGCCUGGGGAGUACGGCCGCAAGGUUGAA